rnacentral:rRNA from 1 species
GGGGAAUCUUAGACAAUGGGCGCAAGCCUGAUCUAGCCAUGCCGCGUGGGUGAUGAAGGCCUUAGGGUCGUAAAGCCCUUUCGCCGGGGAAGAUAAUGACGGUACCCGGUAAAGAAACCCCGGCUAACUCCGUGCCAGCAGCCGCGGUAAUACGGAGGGGGUUAGCGUUGUUCGGAAUGACUGGGCGUAAAGCGCGCGUAGGCGGACCAUCAAGUCGGGGGUGAAAUCCCGGGGCUCAACCCCGGAAUGGCCUUCGAGACUGGUGGUCUUGAGUUCGAGAGAGGUGAGUGGAAUUCCGAGUGUAGAGGUGAAAUUCGUAGAUAUUCGGAGGAACACCAGUGGCGAAGGCGGCUCACUGGACAUGUAUUGACGCUGAGGUGCGAAAGCGUGGGGAGCAAA